UAAUAGCUCACUAGUCGAGUCGGCCUGCGCGGAAGAUGUAACGGGGCUCAAACCAUACACCGAAGCUACGGGUAUCACUUAGGUGAUGCGGUAGAGGAGCGUUCUGUAAGCCUGUGAAGGUGAGUUGAGAAGCUUGCUGGAGGUAUCAGAAGUGCGAAUGCUGACAUGAGUAACGACAAUGGGUGUGAAAAACACCACGCCGAAAGACCAAGGUUUCCUGCGCAACGUUAAUCGACGCAGGGUUAGUCGGUCCCUAAGGCGAGGCUGAAAAGCGUAGUCGAUGGAAAACAGGUUAAUAUUCCUGUACUUCUGGUUAUUGCGAUGGAGGGACGGAG
rnacentral:rRNA from 1 species